GGAACUUCCCUUGGCCUAGAGCGUGCAGUUCCUGGCCCUCAGCCGUGUCUGUCAGACCCCACAGCCAUCAUGCCCACGGGAAUGGUGUUUGUGUUGGCAUCUGUGGUCCCUGUGGGCCUGCCAACUUCCAUGGCAUGUGACAUUGUCAGGGGACUGUAGGUGUGAGGAAGUCAGCCUGAGGAGCUCGUGCUGCCCUGACUCCAGAACUCUCAAUUCUUCUUGAGGCUCAGUGCAGCAGUCACCCUCUCACCCGCAGAUUUGCUUUCCACGGUCUCGGUUACUGGCUGUCAGCCACAGUCAGAAGCGGACGAUCCCCCUGCUGACGUAUUGUCAAUAGUUCAACAGUCGCUUAACGCCAUGUCAUAUGCCUGUAUCACUCACCUACUUUAUCACCUCAUAACAUCACAAAAAUAGGAGGAAAGGCUCAUGAGCCGUGAGUCACGGCGGGCAGUCGACAGUGGGUCUGGCCACGUGCAGCCCCAGUGGGGGUGUUCUGGGGAUGGCCCUGAGACCCAGACAUGACCUGUGCUCUCCGGGAGUUCCCGCCAGAAACAGGAAGAACAGAUGUGAGACUGCAAGCUGCUGAUCUCUGCCCACCUCCACCAGGAAGUCUUCCAAGAUUAAUUACUUUGGACUUGUUCUGGGGUUAAUCCUGAGUUCCUGGCUCUGGCCAGAUGGGCUCCUUUGAGCUUUACCAUCCUGCCUAGUCUGAGCAUCGGGCA